CCUACGGGUGGCAGCAGUGAGGAAUAUUGGUCAAUGGACGAGAGUCUGAACCAGCCAAGUAGCGUGAAGGAUGACUGCCCUAUGGGUUGUAAACUUCUUUUAUAUGGGAAUAAAAUGUUCCACGUGUGGGAUUUUGUAUGUACCAUAUGAAUAAGAGUCGGCUAACUCCGUGCCAGCAGCCGCGGUAAUACGGAGGAUCCGAGCGUUAUCCGGAUUUAUUGGGUUUAAAGGGAGCGUAGGUGGAUUGUUAAGUCAGUUGUGAAAGUUUGUGGCUCAACCGUAAAAUUGCAGUUGAAACUGGCAGUCUUGAGUACAGUAGAGGUGGGCGGAAUUCGUGGUGUAGCGGUGAAAUGCUUAGAUAUCACGAAGAACUCCGAUUGCGAAGGCAGUUCACUGGACUGCAACUGACACUGAGGCUCGAAAGUGUGGGUAUCAAACAGGAUUAGAUACCCUAGUAGUC
rnacentral:rRNA from 1 species